GAUUAACGCUGGCGGCGUGCAUAACACAUUCAAGUCGAACGGACAGUAGCAAUACUGUUAGUGGCGGACGGGUGAGUAACGCGUGAGCAAUCUACCUCCCAGUACGGAAUAACAACCGGAAACAGUUGCUAAUACCGUAUGAAAUGGCAGUAUCGCAUGAUACAACCAUCAAAGAUUUAUUGCUGGGAGAUGAGCUUGCGUCCGAUUAGAUAGUUGGCGGGGUAACGGCCCACCAAGUCGACGAUCGGUAGCCGGACUGAGAGGUUGAACGGCCACAUUGGAACUGAGAUACGGUCCAGACUCCUACGGGAGGCAGCAGUGGGGAAUAUUGGGCAAUGGGCGAAAGCCUGACCCAGCGACGCCGCGUGAGGGAAGAAGAUCUUCGGAUUGUAAACCUUAGUCAACAGGGAAGAAGAAAGUGACGGUACCUGUGGAGGAAGCCACGGCUAACUACGUG
rnacentral:rRNA from 1 species